AGACUCUAGAAAUGGUUGCACCCUUUGGAAACUGAGGCUAUGAUAUUGACAUGGCCACAGAGGAUUAACAUUGCACUAGGUGUGGCUAGAGCCUUAUCUUGGCUCCAUCAUUUAUGCAAUCUGCAUGUGGUGCACUUGAAUAUUUGUUCACGGAGUAUCUUGCUAGAUAAGAAUUUCGAACCCAAGUUAUCCAAUUUUGGAGAUGCCAAGUUUUUGAACCCCAACAACCAUGAGAGUCUAGGCAUGUCGUUUUAUAUCAAGGAUGGGAAGAAGGAUGUUUAUGAUUUUGGUAAUGUAAUUUUUGAGUUGGUCACGGGAAAAUUAUAUGAGGAAUUGGUGGAGAAUUCAUGUAACAAUGCUAAUCUAUCUCCUAAUCCUUCAAGUUUUUAUAGUGCAAUUGAUAAGUUUAUUAUUGGUGAAGGGUUUGAAAGUGAAGCGUUUAUGCUCAUCAAGAUUGCUUGCGAGUGUGUUCAGCCUCCUAUUGGGAGGGUGUUGAGGCAUCCAUGGAUGGGGUAUUGGGAGGGUUUGCAAAUGUGAACAAACCUGAUAUCAAAUGCAGUGAGGAGUUUUUGAAGAUUAUUUUGUCUGAACGUUUUCCAGCUGAUGCUAGACACCAACCACUUGUUGCUCUUGAUUGCGGUUCUGGCAUUGGCAGAAUUACAAAAAAUCUGUUAAUAAGACACUUCAAUGAGGUCUAUCAGACUUUUU